GCCCCAGUAGUAUAGUGGCCAAGUACGCCGCCCUCUCACGGCGGUAACCCGAGUUCAAAUCUCGGCUGGGGCG
rnacentral:tRNA from 1 species